UACGUAGGUGGCAAGCGUUGUCCGGAAUUAUUGGGCGUAAAGCGCACGUAGGCGGCUUUCUAAGUCAGGGGUGAAAUCCUGGAGCUCAACUCCAGAACUGCCUUUGAUACUGGAGAGCUCGAGUCCGGAAGAGGUGAGUGGAACUGCGAGUGUAGAGGUGAAAUUCGUAGAUAUUCGCAAGAACACCAGUGGCGAAGGCGGCUCACUGGUCCGGUACUGACGCUGAGGUGCGAAAGCGUGGGGAGCAAACAGG
rnacentral:rRNA from 1 species